rnacentral:rRNA from 1 species
GCAAGUCGAACGGACUCAUAUUGAAACCUAGUGAUGUAUGAGUUAGUGGCGGACGGGUGAGUAACGCGUGGGUAACCUGCCUUACACAGGGGGAUAACACUUAGAAAUAGGUGCUAAUACCGCAUAAGCGCACGGUUCCGCAUGGAACAGUGUGAAAAACUCCGGUGGUAUACGAUGGAUCCGCGUCUGAUUAGCCAGUUGGCGGGGUAACGGCCCACCAAAGCGACGAUCAGUAGCCGGCCUGAGAGGGUGAAC